GAUGAACGCUGGCGGCGUGCCUAAUACAUGCAAGUCGAGCGAACAGACGAGGAGCUUGCUCCUCUGACGUUAGCGGCGGACGGGUGAGUAACACGUGGAUAACCUACCUAUAAGACUGGGAUAACUUCGGGAAACCGGAGCUAAUACCGGAUAAUAUAUUGAACCGCAUGGUUCAAUAGUGAAAGACGGUUUUGCUGUCACUUAUAGAUGGAUCCGCGCCGCAUUAGCUUGUUGGUAAGGUAACGGCUUACCAAGGCAACGAUGCGUAGCCGACCUGAGAGGGUGAUCGGCCACACUGGAACUGAGACACGGUCCAGACUCCUACGGGAGGCAGCAGUAGGGAAUCUUCCGCAAUGGGCGAAAGCCUGACGGAGCAACGCCGCGUGAGUGAUGAAGGUCUUCGGAUCGUAAAACUCUGUUAUUAGGGAAGAACAAAUGUGUAGGUAACUAUGCACGUCUUGACGGUACCUAAUCAGAAAGCCACGGCUAACUACGUG
rnacentral:rRNA from 1 species